CAGGGUUGCUGGGAGAGUUCAUUAAUGUUGUAUGAAGCACUCUGAGCUUUUGGAUAAAAUCAAUGUUAUUAAAGCCAUGUUUUUAUUUUUCUUCUCAGCAAGUUCAGUCUUCCUGCAGUUAGGUCACGCUGGUGCUAAGGCUCUUUGAUAGCUCUGGCAACGUUCGCGGAUUCACAGAUGCAUCUGGACUGUUUCUGGGAAAAGGGGCCUGACUGCCUUUGUCUUGCUGAUGGGGAGUAGUAUAGAUGUGAACAUUAAUGCAGCCUGAUGUCACAGGAGACCCAUGUCCUAAGUGUGAUCCAGGUGGUGUGAAGACGGACUUUGCAGUAAGAAAUGUAUGCCUGUAAAAAUGUUGUCUAACACUCUACUCCGUGUAUAUAGCCUUAUUGUUCAUUGUGAGAACUAUUUUAAAAAGAAUUACCUUCAGUAAAGGGCAAGGGUUGUUAACACCUGUGAAAUAAAACCUACAAUGUUAAGGCCUCCUACAUGGAAUAUUCCUUUUUGGCCAAAGAGCCUUUCAGUCCUCAAAGGAGUUGAAAUUUACUGUAUUUUGAAGGUGUUUAUUAAUGACUGUGGUCUCUCCUCAGUCUGUACAUCUCUCAUUGUGGUUAAGGUGGUGAGGUGCACAUGUUGCAGGGGGACCUGUGGAACCUGCAGUGCGAUCCCUGCAGCUGGAAAGAGAUACAGGUCUCCAUGUCCUACAGUUCUUUGACUGCCCAGAUGAAGGAACAAAGGAACCAUUUGAACCUUGCAGAAAUUCUAACGAGCCCUUCUGUGCUGGAAUGCAUCAAGCAAAUUGCCCGCAAAUACAGCUGGACUUGUGCUGAGCUAAAUGUGGGCACUGCA
rnacentral:lncRNA from 1 species